UACGUAGGGUGCGAGCGUUAAUCGGAAUUACUGGGCGUAAAGCGUGCGCAGGCGGUUUUGUAAGCCAGAUGUGAAAUCCCCGGGCUUAACCUGGGAAUGGCAUUUGGGACUGCAAGGCUUGAGUGCGGCAGAGGAGACUGGAAUUCCUGGUGUAGCGGUGGAAUGCGCAGAUAUCAGGAAGAACACCCGUGGCGAAGGCGGCUCUCUGGGACGGUACUGACGCUGAGACGCGAAAGCGUGGGGAGCGAACAGG
rnacentral:rRNA from 1 species